rnacentral:rRNA from 1 species
CGUGUAGGCGGUCUCCGAAAGUGUCGUGUGAAAUCCCAGGGCUCAACCCUGGAACUGCGCGGCAAACUCCGGAGCUUGAGGCUGGUAGAGGUGCCUGGAACUCUCGGUGGAGCGGUGAAAUGCGUAGAUAUCGAGAGGAACGCCGGAGGCGAAAGCGGGGCACUGGGCCGGUUCUGACGCUGAGACGCGGAAAGCGUGGGGAGCAAACAGGACUUAGAUACCCUGGUAGUCCACGCCGUAAACGAUGCACACUAGACGUCGGACCCUCUGACGGGACCGGCGUCGCAGCAAAAGUCCUAAGUGUGCCGCCGUGGGGAGUACGGCCGCAAGGCUAAA